CCCCGCCGCACCAACAAUCAGUGUACAAGGUCGCGGCCCGAAACGUCAGCUAUCCAUUUUCUCCAGAGAAGCUGCCUGACCCACUGAGUUACUCCAGCACUCCGUGUCUGCCUCGAGUCUGCUCCACCCCAAGAUGCAACUGUUUGGCCAGAACUUGGACCCGGAGGAAUUUUUAAAUUUGACGACUCGAUGGCGCUCGCCUGCCUCCGCCUGAGCACAAAGGACAGGAAGGAAAGGCCAGUGUCCCCACCCCGGCGAAGAGGAAGCGUGGGCCGGCAGCAGCUGAUGGUGACGGGACGGCUGCUGGUCAGCGCAAGCUCCGGAGAACCGGCGUUGCAGUCGGGACCGUUGAAAUCUCGUCUGUACCGCCAACGGAACAAUGCCAUUCUUGCUUCCCUGGUUUAACAAGCGAGUGAACACAACACACCGAUACAGAUAUAAUAAUCAGUAAUGCCAGAAAUUAAUAAAUAAUCCGUGGUGCAA